CGUGUGUUCUUGAAAUAAAUGAUUACCAAUUCCAAAAACUGGAAAAAAGUAGACAAUUCAAAUUUAAAAAGCAAUAAUUUCGAUGGUGUAAUAGACAUUGAGGAAACUAAUGACUACUGCCUACAAACAACGAAGAAGAUCCACACUACUUUGAAGUUUUCAAAAAAAAGAAAGCAUGUGGAGGGACAUAAAGGAAAUAGAAAAUCCAAAAAGACAUACAAUGAGGAAAUUGAAAAUACAGUGAACUUUGAUUCUGAAAUUUCUGCCUGGAACGUUUUAGAAAUACAUCCAAAAAUUAUUUCUGCGCUAAAAAAGCUAAAAUUUUAUGAACCGACUGAAAUUCAAUCAAAAACCAUUUCUUCCGCUUUAAAAACUCAAUCAGACAUCAUUGGAUGUGC